rfam:Glycine soja cultivar W05 scaffold3159_24, whole genome shotgun sequence.
GAGUGUCACAUCAUCACACCUAGUCACGGACACCUCAUUGACAUGUCAUCCCUUCAAUGGCGUGACAAUGGCGUGUCGAUGAUAAGGCAUGAUGAUGUGGCACUUAAU